UUUAGACCUAACUUUUUCCCCGUUUGCUUUAAAACUAACACUAUUGCGGAGUGAAUUAGGAUAUUUUCAGCAGGGCCCGCUCUAUGGGCGGACAUUUGAAGAAAUGCGGUAGGUUGUCUAGGCGGUGAUCCGUGCCGAUGAAACAAAUGGCUCGGUUGUAUAUUUCGGUCGUUUAUCGCUAUAUAUCGGACGCCUGUAUAUCUCUUUGACCUCCGACCUCUAGUCCACUAGGGAUAUUUUCCGUCCUCUUUCCAUCGGUACCGCUUUGGCCGCGCUUCGGUAAGGCGACCGUGGUAGUGUGGCGAAAAAAUGAUGUCUGACCGCCGACACGGGGAAAAAUGCGAAUUUUGCACCUUUAUUCUACCGUAUACCGCGCCUAUUUUAACAAUGGAAAAAUAUUAUCGAGAAAAUAAAUACUUAUACACGGUGUGGCUUCUUAAUUAUCGUGUAACGUAGUAAAAUUAAAACAUUACUUUCGUUAAUUUUUAAAAGAUACUUUCGAUAAUUGUUAUUAAGUAAAUUCCAACAGAAGUUUAAAUAUACCGAAUAUCGUACUAUUAUGUCGAUUCGAUAUUUCGUUCGAAUAAAAAAGAUGCGAAUUGACUGUAUAAAACUGGCAUUGGUACCGAGCUCUUCCGGCCACGACGUCACAAUUGUACCAAAAAGCCUUCCGGUAUAGACGAUAUGGAUGGAAGUCGGGCACGCUUGGUGGUGGAGAAUUCUGCCGAAAGACCGGGUCCGUUUACGUCCGGACGGGGUUAACGCUGACCGUGGUCGGAUUUGGGCAUCCGAACCACCCCGCGCUAUUCCGAAAAUGGGAACCCACGAAUUGUUUAAUUUCAAUCAAAAACGUGGAAAAAUAUUUGCAACGCACCGAUCGAAAUAUAACGCGACAUAGCUAAAUGCAUAAAUUACAUACAAUAAUCAAAUAAAUGGAACAAAACGCAAAAGUAAAAUUAUUCCAUAAAGUUAAUUAAUAUUACUCGGUAAAAAUUCUCCUUCGGUUAAAUCUAUCAGAUCGGAGAUAUAAGUACUAUAGAACGUUUAACCAUAUCCAGACGGUAGUGUGGCGCGGAAAAAAUACCAUAGUUUGUAAGAGAAGGCCGAGGCGCGUUUAACUGUAUAGGAAAAGCGCCACUUAAAAUAAUAAAAAUUUUAAAUGGAAAUAAAGUAUCCUAUUCUUCGAUAAAUUAAUAACCGGUACGGUGUGGGUUAGUAUUUAGUAGGUGUCGAUCGAAUCAAAAUUUGAAAAUUGUUUUUUAAGUGUUAUUUAGGUAGUUAAAUGAGAUGGCGCGGCGGACCAUCAAAUAGUAAUACCCUCGUCUAUCAUCCAUCGAAAAAAAGACACAAAUAUAAUUUUACGAAUACACAUAGAAUGAAUGAAAUAAAUGUUUCUGAAAAGAAUAUCCUGUCUUACUUUUAGUUUUUUUUUAUAUUAACAAAUCAAUAUGUGAAGAAAAAGUUAACUUUUUAUCAGAUAAUAUACCAAGAUCAUUCAUUUCAUCGAGCGUAGGAAUUUUAGUAGAAUGAAACAUUAUUAACUGUGUAGGGUUCGAAUGUCGCAGUGAAAAAACAAAUUGAUUUUGUUGUGCUGAAAUUAAUAUAUAAUCUAUUUUCCUUUAACCAAUUUUCCAGAAUAAAAUCGAAGGAACAAAUUGAUAAUUUUCAGAUCAUCAGCGUAAGUAAUUAUAGUAGAUUCAGUCAAAUAUAACCACGGAUUGAUAUACAUAGAAAAAAAAAAAAGAAGAACACUUAGGGGCGAUCCUCGCGAGUCACCAAAUUUUAGUGGAAUGGGAUGAGACGUAAAUUGAUCAAAUUUCAUCAAAACUUGUCUAUUAUUUAAAUAACAAAACAUCCAUUUAGUUAAGUCGGGGUCUAUAUCAAAUUGAGUUUCCAUAGUACGUUUAAGUAUAAAGUGAUCUAAAGCAGUGGUUUUCAAACUUUGUCAAUUUAAGGAACCCUUAUGAGUAUAAAAUUAUUUCGCGGAACCCGGGAUCAUAAACAAUAGAAUAUUCAGUCUAGAUAGCAAAUAUAAAGAAAAACAUUUUAAUAUUCUUUUAUUAUAUUAAGAAUUAUAUUAAUAAGAGUUAAAAAAGUAUUACAAAAUAAA
rnacentral:lncRNA from 1 species